rnacentral:tRNA from 36 species
GCCGGAGUGGCGGAAUCGGUAGACGCAGCGGACUCAAAAUCCGCCGCCCUUAAAAGCGUGUGGGUUCGAGUCCCACCUCCGGCACCA